GAUGAACGCUGGCGGCGUGCUUAACACAUGCAAGUCGAGCGGAGGUAUAGUAACGGAGAGCUUCGGCAGGAAGAUAUUAUACUUUAGCGGCGGACGGGUGAGUAACGUGUGGGCAACCUGCCAUAUACUGGGGAAUAAUCAUUGGAAACGAUGACUAAUACCGCAUGUGGUCUUUAAGGGGCAUCUCUUGAAGAAGAAAGGACUUCGGUUCGGUAUAUGAUGGGCCCGCAUCUGAUUAGCUAGUUGGUGAGAUAACAGCUCACCAAGGCGACGAUCAGUAGCCGACCUGAGAGGGUGAUCGGCCACACUGGUACUGAGACACGGACCAGACUCCUACGGGAGGCAG
rnacentral:rRNA from 1 species